AGAGUUUGAUCCUGGCUCAGGAUGAACGCUGGCGGCGUGCCUAACACAUGCAAGUCGAACGGAGCGCCCGGACGGAGUAUUUCGGUACAAAGACCGGGUGGCUGAGUGGCGGACGGGUGAGUAACGCGUGGACAACCUGCCGUGUACAGGGGGAUAACAGCCGGAAACGGCUGCUAAUACCGCAUAUGCGCACAGUGCCGCAUGGCACAGGGCGGAAAGCCUAGAUCUUAUCUAGUACGGUACACGAUGGGUCCGCGUCUGAUUAGGUAGUUGGCGGGGUAACGGCCCACCAAGCCCACGAUCAGUAGCCGGCCUGAGAGGGCGGACGGCCACACUGGGACUGAGACACGGCCCAGACUCCUGCGGGAGGCAGCAGUGGGGAAUAUCGCACAAUGGGGGGAACCCUGAUGCAGCGACGCCGCGUGAAGGAAGAAGUAUCUCGGUAUGUAAACUUCUAUCAGCAGGGAAGAAAGAGGACGGUACCUGACUAAGAAGCCCCGGCUAACUACGUGCCAGCAGCCGCGGUAAUACGUAGGGGGCGAGCGUUAUCCGGAUUUACUGGGUGUAAAGGGAGCGUAGACGGCCAUGCAAGCUCGGUGUGAAAGGUGCGGGCACAACCCGCAGACUGCACUGAGAACUGUAUGGCUGGAGUGCCGGAGGGGCAGGCGGAAUUCCUGGUGUAGCGGUGAAAUGCGUAGAUAUCAGGAGGAACACCGGUGGCGAAGGCGGCCUGCUGGACGGCGACUGACGUUGAGGCUCGAAAGCGUGGGGAGCGAACAGGAUUAGAUACCCUGGUAGUCCACGCCGUAAACGAUGUAUACCAAGUGUCGGGCAUCAAGGAUGGCCGGUGCCGUAGCAAACGCAUUAAGUAUACCACCUGGGGAGUACGUUCGCAAGAAUGAAACUCAAAGGAAUUGACGGGGACCCGCACAAGCGGUGGAGCAUGUGGUUUAAUCCGAAGCAACGCGAAGAACCUUACCAAGCCUUGACAUCCCGCUGACAGGGGCGUAACGGCCCCCUCCCUUCGGGGCAGCGGUGACAGGUGGUGCAUGGUUGUCGUCAGCUCGUGUCGUGAGAUGUUGGGUUAAGUCCCGCAACGAGCGCAACCCUUGUUACUAGUUGCCAGCAUUAAGUUGGGCACUCUAGUGAGACCGCCGGUGACAAACCGGAGGAAGGUGGGGACGACGUCAGAUCAUCAUGCCCCUUAUGACCUGGGCUACACACGUGCUACAAUGGACGGUACAACGAGUCGCAAGCUCGCGAGAGUAAGCUAAUCUCUUAAAGCCGUUCUCAGUUCGGACUGUAGGCUGCAACUCGCCUACACGAAGUCGGAAUCGCUAGUAAUCGCGGAUCAGCAUGCCGCGGUGAAUACGUUCCCGGGCCUUGCACACACCGCCCGUCA
rnacentral:rRNA from 1 species